rnacentral:rRNA from 1 species
CGAACGCUGGCGGCGUGCUUACCACAUGCACGUCGAACGGUGAAGCUCCAGCUUGCUGGAGUGGAUCAGUGGCGAACGGGUGAGUAACACGUGAGCAACCUGCCCCUGACUCUGGAAUAAGCGCUGGAAACGGCGUCUAAUACUGGAUACGAGAAGGGUCCGCAUGGGCACUUUCUGGAAAGUUUUUCGGUUGGGGAUGGGCUCGCGGCCUAUCAGCUUGUUGGUGAGGUAAUGGCUCACCAAGGCGACGACGGGUAGCCGGCCUGAGAGGGCGACCGGCCACACUGGGACUGAGACACGGCCCAGACUCCUACGGGAGGCAGCAGUGGGGAAUAUUGCACAAUGGGCGAAAGCCUGAUGCAGCGACGCCGCGUGAGGGAUGACGGCCUUCGGGUUGUAAACCUCUUUCAGCAGGGAAGAAGCGAAAGUGACGGUACCUGCAGAAGAAGCACCGGCUAACUACGUG